GACGAACGCGGCGGCGUGCUUAACACAUGCAAGUCGAACGGACGACGAGAGAGCUUGCUCUCUUGAAGUUAGUGGCGAACGGGUGAGUAACGCGUAAUCAACCUGCCCUUCAGAGGGGGAUAACAACGGGAAACCGUUGCUAAUACCGCGUACGAUUCAUAGACGGCAUCGUUUGUGAAUGAAAGGUGGCCUCUAUUUAUAAGCUAUCGCUGAAGGAGGGGAUUGCGUCUGAUUAGCUAGUUGGAGGGGUAACGGCCCACCAAGGCAAUGAUCAGUAGCCGGUCUGAGAGGAUGAACGGCCACAUUGGGACUGAGACACGGCCCAAACUCCUACGGGAGGCAGCAGUGGGGAAUCUUCCGCAAUGGACGAAAGUCUGACGGAGCAACGCCGCGUGAGUGAUGAAGGUCUUCGGAUUGUAAAGCUCUGUUAAUCGGGACGAAAGAGUUCUGUGUGAAUAAUGCAGAAAAGUGACGGUACCGGAAUAGAAAGCC
rnacentral:rRNA from 1 species